GACGAACGCUGGCGGCGUGCUUAACACAUGCAAGUCGAACGGAAAGGCCCUGCUUUUGUGGGGUGCUCGAGUGGCGAACGGGUGAGUAACACGUGAGUAACCUGCCCUUGACUUUGGGAUAACUUCAGGAAACUGGGGCUAAUACCGGAUAGGAGCUCCUGCUGCAUGGUGGGGGUUGGAAAGUUUCGGCGGUUGGGGAUGUACUCGCGGCUCCUCAGCUUGUUGGGGGGGGAGUGGCUUACCAAGGCUUUGACGGGUAGCCGGCCUGUGAGGGUGACCGGCCCCAUUCCGACUGCAGUACGGCCCAGCCCCCUCCGGGAGGCAGCAGUGGGCACUAUGGCACACUGGGCGGAGGCAUUAUGCAGCAACGCCGCGUGCGGGAUGACGGCCUUCGGGUUGUAAACCGCUUUCGCCUGUGACGAAGCGUGAGUGACGGUAAUGGGUCAAGAAGCACCGGCUAACUACGUG
rnacentral:rRNA from 1 species